CUACGGGUGGCAGCAGUAGGGAAUAUUGCACAAUGGGCGAAAGCCUGAUGCAGCAACGCCGCGUGCGCGAUGAAGGCCUUCGGGUUGUAAAGCGCUUUUCUGAGGGAAGAGGAAGGACGGUACUUCAGGAAUAAGUCUCGGCUAACUACGUGCCAGCAGCCGCGGUAACACGUAGGAGGCAAGCGUUAUCCGGAUUUACUGGGCGUAAAGCGCGUGCAGGCGGUUUGGCAAGUCGGAUGUGAAAGCUCCUGGCUCAACUAGGAGAUGCCGUUCGAAACUGCCAGACUCGAGGACGGUAGAGGGAGAUGGAAUUCCCGGUGUAGUAGUGAAAUGCGUAGAUAUCGGGAGGAACACCAGAGGCGAAGGCGGUCUCCUGGGCCGGUCCUGACGCUAAGACGCGAAAGCAUGGGUAGCGAACGGGAUUAGAUACCCGAGUAGUC
rnacentral:rRNA from 1 species